GACGAACGCUGGCGGCGUGCCUAAUACAUGCAAGUAGAACGCAGUUGCGAACGGGUGAGUAACGCGUAGGUAACUGCCUCAUAGCGGGGGAUAACUAUUGGACACGAUAGCUAAUACCGCAUCCUGUGAGAUGGACCUGCGUUGUAUUAGCUUGUUGGUGAGGUAAAGGCUCACCAAGGCGACGAUACAUAGCCGACCUGAGAGGGUGGUCGGCCACACUGGGACUAAGACACGGACCAGACUCCUACGGGAGGCAGCAGUAGGGAAUCGUCGGGAAUGGACGGAAGGCUGAACGAGCAACGGCGCGUGAGUGAAGAAGGUUUUCGGAGCGUAAAGCUCGGUUGUUAGAGAAGCGGUAACUAAACAGAAAGGGACGGCUAACUACGUGCCAGCAGCCGCGGUAAUUC
rnacentral:rRNA from 1 species